rnacentral:rRNA from 1 species
UACGAAGGGGACUAGCGUUGUUCGGAAUCACUGGGCGUAAAGCGUGCGCAGGCGGUUUUGUAAGACAGAUGUGAAAUGCCCGGGCUUAACCUGGGAACUGCAUUUGUGACUGCAAGGCUAGAGUGUGUCAGAGGGGGUAGAAUUCCACGUGUAGCAGUGAAAUGCGUAGAUAUGUGGAGGAACACCGAUGGCGGAAGGCAGCCCCCUGGGAUAACACUGACGCUCGAUGCACGAAAGACGU